UAAUGGCACACUGUUCACUAGCACAUUCCAAAUGUUACGGGUGUUCAGUCGAAUAGUUCGGCGGCGCUUAAAAACGUUUUUACCUAUACACGUCGGUGUCGGAUCAUGGAAGCAUUUCUUUUGCUGCUGAGAUAACGUAGCCGUCACGAGACGUUUUGUAAUUAUGCAAUAUGAAAACGCAAGCGACCGAUAUCCGAAGCAAUAAGUUAGUUUCUGUUACGGGACCGAGAUACGCGUAGUGUAUCGCGUGUCUGGUUUUAACUAUUCGACUCUACCGCAACAUAUAAGAUUCAUAUUCAUACAGACGGCAUUUACUUAAAAAUAUUUCGUACAUCUUUAACACUUUUAACACCUUUUGUCGUUUAAAUCGUGUCCGCUUAAUUCGGUCGAAACGAGCGCGUAUUCUCGGCGCGGCGUUUAAGUAAUAUUUUCCGUAUUCAUUUAGCCUCGAUUUAUCAUGAGCGAUUACCGUGCGUCGGUCGCACGAUGCGAUACGCUAUAGUCUUGUUUAUUUCUUAACGUUGUAUAGGGACGUGCAUUAUCAACACUCUGCUGCGCUCGAAUCCGGUGUUUUAGAGGGAACAAUGGCACCCUGCAGUGAAUAGCACCAAGAUAAAGUUACAAUUUCAACGAGGAAUCUUCAUAAUGUAUAUAAAUCGUAUUGUUUGUUUUGUAUUAUAAUUAAAUUGUUGGUAUUGUAAUAAAAUUAUUUAAAACCA